UACGUAGGUGGCAAGCGUUGUUCGGAAUUAUUGGGCGUAAAGGGCGCGUAGGCGGUUUGCUAAGUCAGUUGUGAAAGCCCGGGGCUCAACCCCGGAGGGUCGGCUGAUACUGGUGGACUAGAGUACGGAAGAGGUAGCUGGAAUUCCUGGUGUAGCGGUGAAAUGCGCAGAUAUCAGGAGGAACACCGGUGGCGAAGGCGGGUCUCUGGGCCGAUACUGACGCUGAGGAGCGAAAGCGUGGGGAGCGAACAGG
rnacentral:rRNA from 1 species